CUUGAAGAGGUGGAGGCAAUUGAACUUGUGGGGGGCAGAAUGUUAUGAAACAGAGUCCUUCUAUAAAUAGUAUUCUAUUGAGACGAGGAUUGUUUUAAAUAAAUGAUUUUGAAAAACUUUAAAGUCAUUUAAACUAUAUGAUAAGGACAAGAAACUUAAAUUGGCUUACCUAGGGCCUGGUUAGAUUGGCCCGUAGACUUGAAGAAGCAAAAAUUGAGA
rnacentral:lncRNA from 1 species